rnacentral:rRNA from 1 species
AAAGAGGAGUGGCGGACGGGUGAGUAACACGUGGGUAACCUACCCAUCAGAGGGGGAUAACACUUGGAAACAGGUGCUAAUACCGCAUAACAGUUUAUGCCGCAUGGCAUAAGAGUGAAAGGCGCUUUCGGGUGUCGCUGAUGGAUGGACCCGCGGUGCAUUAGCUAGUUGGUGAGGUAACGGCUCACCAAGGCCACGAUGCAUAGCCGACCUGAGAGGGUGAUCGGCCACACUGGGACUGAGACACGGCCCAGACUCCUACGGGAGGCAGCAGUAGGGAAUCUUCGGCAAUGGACGAAAGUCUGACCGAGCAACGCCGCGUGAGUGAAGAAGGUUUUCGGAUCGUAAAACUCUGUUGUUAGAGAAGAACAAGGACGUUAGUAACUGAACGUCCCCUGACGGUAUCUAACCAGAAAGCCACGGCUAACUACGUGCCAGCAGCCGCGGUAAUACGUAGGUGGCAAGCGUUGUCCGGAUUUAUUGGGCGUAAAGCGAGCGCAGGCGGUUUCUUAAGUCUGAUGUGAAAGCCCCCGGCUCAACC